GGGCGUAAGCGCGCGCAGGCGGCUUCUUAAGUCUGAUGUGAAAUCCCUCGGCUCCCCUUUGGAAUUGCAUUCGAUACUGGAAAGCUAGAGUAUGGGCCCUGAAGGUAGAAUUCCAGGUGUAGCGGUGAAAUGCGUACAGAUCUGGAGGAAUACCGAUGGCGAAGGCAGCCCUCUGCCCUAAUACUGACGCUGAGGUGCGAAAGCAUGGGGAGCAAACAGGAUUAGAUACCCUGGUAGUCCAUGCC
rnacentral:rRNA from 1 species